UACGAAGGGGGCUAGCGUUGCUCGGAAUCACUGGGCGUAAAGGGCGCGUAGGUGGCGACCCAAGUCGAUGGUGAAAGCUCGCCGCUUAACGGCGAGUCGGCCACCGAUACUGGGUUGCUCGAGCACUGUAGAGGCUCAUGGAAUUCCGGGUGUAGCGGUGGAAUGCGUAGAGAUCCGGAAGAACACCGGUGGCGAAGGCGGUGAGCUGGGCAGUUGGCUGACACUGAGGCGCGACAGCGUGGGGGAGCAAACAGG
rnacentral:rRNA from 1 species